rfam:Ictidomys tridecemlineatus contig043797, whole genome shotgun sequence.
UUGCAUGGAGCUCAGUGAUAGAGUGCCUGCCUAGAAUGCACAAGGCCCUAGGUUCAAUCCCCAGCAUGCGUC